CAGUCGCCGCGGUAAUACGAAGGGGGCUAGCGUUGCUCGGAAUGACUGGGCGUAAAGGGCUCGCAGGCGGUUUCUUAAGUCUGAUGUGAAAGCCCCCGGCUCAACCGGGGAGGGUCAUUGGAAACUGGGAAACUUGAGUGCAGAAGAGGAGAGUGGAAUUCCACGUGUAGCGGUGAAAUGCGUAGAGAUGUGGAGGAGCACCAGUGGCGAAGGCGACUCUCUGGUCUGUAACUGACGCUGAGGAGCGAAAGCGUGGGGAGCGAACAGGAUUAGAUACCCCUGUAGUCCCUGUCUCUUAUAC
rnacentral:rRNA from 1 species